rfam:Nitrosospira briensis strain Nsp8 genome assembly, contig: Ga0105880_102
UGUUCCCUGCGGUGUUUGUUAAGGCCUAUAUUCUUUGAACCAACUUUUUAAGAAUUGGUUACAAACCAGAGCGAUGCUGUUGUGCGCGUCCUACACGGAAGCGCCUGAUGCAUCCGGUGAGUGACCGCCUUGGACCUUAAGGUUCAAGAUAAAUGGUCUGACGGCAUUUGCGGGGACUUA